AAACAUUAUGGGAAAAAGUCCAAAGGCUCUCUUACUUUGGCACAAAUCAAAUACAGCAACUGUAGUCACAGUACUUCGGCACUCUUAUUCCCUGCUGUGAUGAGAUGAUGGAGCUGGUUCAAGUCAUUUGCAUAUGUUUACAUCUCCAGAUGUCAAAGUUCUAUCUCUGUCUGUCAAAGGCCAACUAGAUCAGAGUGGAAUUGGAAAAGAAUCAGAGACGGAGGACAAUCCUUGUGCAGUGUUCCUCAUGUCAAUUGCUUCACAUGGCCACGAAAUACUAAUUCUCCAAAGAAUCAAAUGGAAGCUCAGAUGCAAUAAACAGGUUCUCUACCACGGAACAAAGGCUGCA
rnacentral:lncRNA from 1 species